CAGCCUGAGAAACGGCUACCACAUCCACGGAAGGCAGCAGGUGCGCAAAUUACCCAAUCCUAAAUCAGGGAGGUAGUGACAAUAAAUAACGAGGGCGGGCGAUUAUCGUCUGCUAAUCGGAAUGAGAACAAUUUAAAACCCUUAUCGAAAUCAAGUGGAGGGAAAGUCUGGUGC
rnacentral:rRNA from 1 species